rnacentral:rRNA from 1 species
UGGGGAAUAUUGCACAAUGGGCGCAAGCCUGAUGCAGCCAUGCCGCGUGUGUGAAGAAGGCCUUCGGGUUGUAAAGCACUUUCAGCGGGGAGGAAGGCGUUAAGGUUAAUAACCUUGGCGAUUGACGUUACCCGCAGAAGAAGCACCGGCUAACUCCGUGCCAGCAGCCGCGGUAAUACGGAGGGUGCAAGCGUUAAUCGGAAUUACUGGGCGUAAAGCGCACGCAGGCGGUCUGUCAAGUCGGAUGUGAAAUCCCCGGGCUCAACCUGGGAACUGCAUCUGAUACUGGCAAGCUUGAGUCUCGUAGAGGGGGGUAGAAUUCCAGGUGUAGCGGUGAAAUGCGUAGAGAUCUGGAGGAAUACCGGUGGCGAAGGCGGCCCCCUGGACAAAGACGGACGCUCAGGUGCGAAAGCGUGGGGAGCAAACAGG